AUUGAACGCUAGCGGGAUGCUUCACACAUGCAAGUCGAACGAGUGGCGGGCGUGUGAGUAAUAUAUCGGCACGUGCCCAGUAGCGGGGGAUAACUACUCGGACGAGUUGCUAAUACCGCAUACUAUUGGCGCGGCCGCUAUCGGAUUAGCUAGUUGGUGGGGUAAAGGCUCACAAAGGCCACGAUCCGUAGCUGUUUUGAGAGGACGACCAGCCACACUGGGACUGAGACACGGCCCAGACUCCUACGGGAGGCAGCAGUGGGGAAUGUUGGACAAUGGGGGAAACCCUGAUCCAGCCAUCCCGCGUGUAUGAGAAGGCCUUCGGGUUGUAAAGUACUUUUGGCAGAGAAGCGGUAUCUGCAGAAUAAGCACCGGCUAACUACGUGCCAGCAGCCGCGGUAAUUC
rnacentral:rRNA from 1 species